rnacentral:piRNA from 1 species
UCUUUAACUGAAGUGCAUCGUAC